CCCACGUUCCUAACAGUCAUGGUACACGGUCCCCAUGACCUCUCCAGCUGCCAUAUUGUUGUCUCUAAUUCCAGGUCUCGCAUAAGGUCUCUGCUAUCUUCGGAGCCAUGUCUCAGGUGUCAGAUGUCGACGACGCAUUGUCCCUCCC